GACGAACGCUGGCGGCGUGCCUAACACAUGCAAGUCGAACGGGGUGAUUUUCUUCGGAGGAUCACUUAGUGGCGAACGGGUGAGUAACGCGUGAGAAACCUGCCUUUCAGUGGGGGACAACAGUUGGAAACGACUGCUAAUACCGCAUAACAUAUCAGGAUCGCAUGUUUCUGAUAUCAAAGAUUUAUUGCUCAAGGAUGGGCUCGCGGCCGAUUAGGUAGUUGGUGAGGUAAUGGCUCACCAAGCCGACGAUCGGUAGCCGGACUGAGAGGUUGAACGGCCACACUGGAACUGAGACACGGUCCAGACUCCUACGGGAGGCAGCAGUGAGGAAUAUUGGUCAAUGGUCGGAAGACUGAACCAGCCAAGUAGCGUGAAGGAUGAAGGUUCUAUGGAUUGUAAACUCUUUUAUACGGGAAUAAAACACCUUACGUGUAGGGUCUUGUAUGUACCGUAUGAAUAAGCAUCGGCUAACUCCGUGCCAGCAGCCGCGGU
rnacentral:rRNA from 1 species